AACAAGGGCUGAGAACACAAAGACAGGCAUUGUGCUAAAUGCUGAGGAAGUAAAAAGGAAUUCUUAUUUAUAAUUUAUACCCCACCUACUUCCAAAGAGAAUUUUAAAGGUGACUCACAAUGAAAAACCACAUAUGAAGCAAGAUCACUGAGUUAAAAAUUGAAACAUCAAGCCAUGGGAAUGAAGAAAGGGAAGCCUGUGUUACCUAUCACUACUGUGCCAAAGUCCUUCCUUUUGUCCAGACAUUCCACUUUACAAAAGAGGGCGACGGGAACGAUGAGGUGUGGCUCGAGCUGAGGGAAAGUUUAUCUAUUCUCUCUGGGUAGAGGCAUGGGGAGAACUCCCAUUAUCCAAUUUGACAAACUCCUGACCUGCUUUAGCAGUUGAAAAUCAUCGUUCAUGGAUGCUUGGAUGACACAGACAUUCUUCCACCAGCUGUCUGUCACACCAGCUCUCAAGAAAAGUCUGCUAGAACAUCAUGCAUUUCUCUGCAGAAGGAAGGGAUGACAUGCAGAAAAUACAUAUCAGAAUGAAAAAUAGGCUCCUGCCCUGGAUGCACGUUCCCGUGGUCAAGAGCAAGUGGCAGAGCCAGGAGCACCCAUCUCCAGAUGGGAAAGGGAAGGAGGAGAGCCGACGCCCUCAAACACUUGCCAGUAGGUCCUGCAGGAAUCCAGGAAGCUGGAUGCAAGGCUCAGUGUUGCACACAAGAAAACUGAGGCUCAGGGAGGGCAAGGAGCUCAUCACAAGUCACCCAGCUAGUGAGCAACUGAGCCAGGAGUCGAUGCCUGGCCUCUCUGACUCAGCUUCAUAAACCAUCUGUGUGUGGAAGGGAGGCCAGCUGUGCAGGGCCUGGGGUCCAGCUGUGCAGAUGAAGCUGGGGAAUGGAGCCCAAUCUGCAGGCACUCACUCCAGACAGAUGAUCUAGAGACAAGGGAACCUGGAGCUGGCAAUAGGAAGCAAAGACUUUGGUGAUCAGCCAGUUCCAGAUAGAUCAUGGCCAAACCUGUGGAAUCUAGGGAGAUACCCAUGACCUCUGAGGCUUUCUCACUUCCCAGUCUUAGAGCUACCUGGUAUCUGAACCAGGAAGCCCUGUC
rnacentral:lncRNA from 1 species